rnacentral:tRNA from 1 species
GGUCUGGUAGUUCAGCUGGUUAGAAUGCCUGCCUGUCACGUAGGAGGUCGCGGGUUCGAGUCCCGUCCAGACCGC